GUUUCGACUUCGACGGUUGAUAUGAGAGAAGCGAGCCGUGGUCUCCGGAGCCACGUUAAAGAGCCGGAACACUUAGAAACGCCAAUGUCAAAACUAAUGACCUGGCGCUCGCUGCCUAAUUUAGGUAACGGGUAACGGCCUCACUGCCUCAGCCUCUCGGGUAGCGGUGGCCCUCAUCUGAGAGGCUUGCCUUCAGUCAUCGCCAGUGUGAUUGAAGGGACUUUUAGCUGGAUAAGGUUGCUUGAUCUGGGGUCGCUACCAACUCGCAACCCGACAACUUGCAAAGCGACUGCGCUCGGAGAAGACUCAUUGAAACGCCGGGGGACGCGGGUUCGAUUCCCGCCACCUCCACUA
rnacentral:tmRNA from 1 species